rnacentral:lncRNA from 1 species
GAUGAAGGAUGAAGCGAGUCCCACGAUCCUAGACUUUUCUCCUGAAUCAGUACGCGAUGAUCGAUGAUAUUCAGUACUGUAGUAUUAUUUCAGGGCAGCAAGCAGCACAAGAGGUUACAAUAAACCAUCACGUCAUCAUUACCAGGCCUGAUCAUUACACAAAUCAACGACGGUUAGGACACAUGCAACAGGCGCCGCUUGUGCCUGCAUAGCUUUUAAUCAUCUCUAAACACCCUCUAAUUAGCACAGUAUAUUACAAGCAUGUCAAUCCUACAACGGGAGCAAACCACAACACACCAAAUUCCUAGCUAUAAACAUAUUUAUUUAUUUAUUUAAUAACUACGCCUGCUUCUACAUUACGGCUGUCGCGGUAUUAUCACAGCAACUCCUGGUGCCGACAAGCAGCAAAGCCCUUACAUAAGCUCAGGUUCCAUCUGAAACUGGAGAAAGCACAAAUCACUCAAGCUCAGGUUCCAGUGAAAAUCACUCAAGCUCAGGUUCCAGUGAAUUAGAUGGCCAGUGAGCAGACAGACAACUGAACCGACAAGCAGAAGCCCUUAUAAGCUCAGGUUCCAUCUGAAAUUGGGGAAAGGACAAGUCAGGCUACAGAAAUAUCGUGGAUCAACAUAACACGAAUCACUCGAGAAUUAAGUUUCAGCAAUAAAAACAGCGCACAUACAUGACAUGAGCUUCUCCUCAGGACAUGUCAG